UACAGAGGUCCCAAGCGUUGUUCGGAUUCAUUGGGCGUAAAGGGUGCGUAGGCGGCGCGGUAAGUCGGGUGUGAAAUCUCGGAGCUUAACUCCGAAACUGCAUUCGAUACUGCGGUGCUUGAGGACUGGAGAGGAGACUGGAAUUUACGGUGUAGCGGUGAAAUGCGUAGAUAUCGUAAGGAAGACCAGUGGCGAAGGCGGGUCUCUGGACAGUUCCUGACGCUGAGGCACGAAGGCCAGGGGAGCAAACGGG
rnacentral:rRNA from 1 species